CGCGUAGGCGGGAUGGCAAGUCAGUCGUGAAAUCUCUCGGCUCAACCGAGAAACGUCGGCUGAUACUGCCGUUCUUGAGGGAUGCAGAGGAGACUGGAAUUCCCGGUGUAGCGGUGAAAUGUGUAGAGAUCGGGAGGAACACCGGUGGCGAAGGCGGGUCUCUGGGCAUUUCCUGACGCUGAGGCGCGAAAGCGUGGGGAGCAAAC
rnacentral:rRNA from 1 species